rnacentral:rRNA from 1 species
AUUGAACGCUGGCGGCAUGCUUUACACAUGCAAGUCGAACGGCAGCACGGGGGUAACCUUGGUGGCGAGUGGCGAACGGGUGAGUAAUAUAUCGGGACAUAUCCGGAAGUGGGGGAUAACGUACCGAAAGGUACGCUAAUACCGCAUAUGCCCUGAGGGGGAAAGGAGGGGAUCGUAAGACCUUUCGCUUUCGGAGUGGCCGAUAUCGGAUUAGCUAGUUGGUGAGGUAAAGGCUCACCAAGGCGACGAUCCGUAGCUGGUCUGAGAGGACGACCAGCCACACUGGAACUGAGACACGGUCCAGACUCCUACGGGAGGCAGCAGUGGGGAAUUUUGGACAAUGGGGGAAACCCUGAUCCAGCCAUGCCGCGUGAGUGAAGAAGGCCUUCGGGUUGUAAAGCUCUUUCAGCCGGAAAGAAAGCGCACAGGUUAAUACCUUGUGUGGAUGACGGUACCGGAAGAAGAGGCACCGGCCAACUACGUGCCAGCCGCCGCAGUAACAC